rnacentral:rRNA from 1 species
GAUUCUGGCUCAGGAUGAACGCUAGCGACAGGCUUAACACAUGCAAGUCGAGGGGCAGCAUAAAGUAGCAAUACUUGGUGGCGACCGGCGCACGGGUGAGUAACGCGUAUGCAACCUACCUAUCAGAGGGGAAUAACCCGGCGAAAGUCGGACUAAUACCGCAUAAAACAGGGGCACCGCAUGGUGAUAUUUGUUAAAGAAAUUCGCUGAUAGAUGGGCAUGCGUUCCAUUAGGUAGUUGGUGAGGUAACGGCUCACCAAGCCGACGAUGGAUAGGGGAACUGAGAGGUUGGUCCCCCACACUGGUACUGAGACGCGGACCAGACUCCUACGGGAGGCAGCAGUGAGGAAUAUUGGUCAAUGGGCGAGAGCCUGAACCAGCCAAGUCGCGUGAAGGAAGAAGGAUCUAUGGUUCGUAAACUUCUUUUGCAGGGGAAUAAAGUGCAGGACGUGUCCUGUUUUGUAUGUACCCUGAGAAUAAGGAUCGGCUAACUCCGUGCCAGCAGCGGC